rnacentral:rRNA from 1 species
CCUACGGGAGGCUGCAGUAGGGAAUCUUUCACAAUGGGCGAAAGCCUGAUGGAGCAACGCCGCGUGCAUGAUGAAGGCCUUCGGGUUGUAAACUGCUUUUAUAAGCGAGGAUUAUGAUGGUAACUUAUGAAGAAGGAUCGGCUAACUACGUGCCAGCAGCCGCGGUCAUACGUAGGAUCCGAGCAUUAUCCGGAGUGACUGGGUGUAAAGAGUUGCGUAGGUGGCAUAAUAAGUAGCUAGUGAAAUCUGGUGGCCCAACCAUUCAGACUAUUAGGUAAACUGUUAAGCUCGAGAACGUUAGGGGUAACUGGAAUAUCUAGUGUAGGAGUGAAAUCCGUAGAUAUUAGAAGGAACACCAAUAGCGUAGGCAGGUUGCUGGGACGUUUCUGACACUAAGGCACGAAAGCGUAGGGAGCAAACGGGAUUAGAUACCCUUGUAGUC